rnacentral:misc_RNA from 1 species
AAUUCUCAACCUUUCCUGUUUUUAUUAACUGGUCAGGCUUGGAUGUGGGGGUUGCGGGCUUCUCAGAAGUCGGCUCUCCUUAAAUGUAUUAGCGAAACCUUUGUUGACCAUCUCUGGUGUGAUAAUUAUCUACGCCACAGAGAAUCAGCUUUAUUAUGGGGUUCUGCUUCUAACCGUCCUUUUGGACAACUUCUGACA